rnacentral:rRNA from 1 species
UACGAAGGGUGCAAGCGUUACUCGGAAUUACUGGGCGUAAAGCGUGCGUAGGUGGUUUGUUAAGUCUGUUGUGAAAGCCCCGGGCUCAACCUGGGAAUGGCAAUGGAUACUGGCAGGCUAGAGUGCGGUAGAGGGUAGUGGAAUUCCCGGUGUAGCGGUGAAAUGCGUAGAGAUCGGGAGGAACACCAGUGGCGAAGGCGGCUACCUGGACCAUUUCUGACGCUGAGACACGAAAGCGUGGGUAGCAAACAGG